AAUAGUUUUAUGCCACAUUAGUAUUCUUAUCCUGAAUUUCAGGAUUUUAUUAUGAAAAAAAAAUCAAAUCCAAAUUAAAAUACUAAAAUUCAGGAUAAAAUCUUGAAAUUCAGGAUAAGAAUACUGAUGUAGCAUAAAACUAUU
rnacentral:pre_miRNA from 1 species